rnacentral:rRNA from 1 species
GUCUUUUUGACUUAAAUAUAAAGUAUAACCUGCCCAUUGAUAUUUUUAAAAGGCUGCGGUAUAUUGACCGUACAAAGGUAGCAUAAUCAUUAGUUUUUUAAUUGAGAACUUGUAUGAAUGGUUGAAUGAGAAAUGAACUUUUUUAAUAAAAAAAUUGAAUUUUACAUUUUAAUUAAAAGGUUGAAAUAUAUUUAAAAGACGAGAAGACCCUAUAGAGUUUUAUAAUUUAUAUUUAAUAUUAAAAAAAAUUAAUAGAUAUUUUUAUUUAAAUAAUUAUUUUGUUGGGGUGAUGAUAAAAUUUAACUAACUUUUAUUUUUUUUUUACAUUAAUAUAUGGGAAAUUGAUCCACUAUUAGUGAUUAAAAGAUUAAAUUACCUUAGGGAUAACAGCGUAAUUUUUUUUUUAAGUUCAUAUUAAUAAAAAAUUUUGCGACCUCGAUGUUGGAUUAAGAUUUAAUUUUAGGUGCAGAAGUUUAAAAUUUAAGUCUGUUCGACUUUUAAAUUCUU